rnacentral:lncRNA from 1 species
CAAUACUGGGCAAUUUACAGAAGAAAGAGGUUUAAUGGAUUUACAGUUCCACAUGGCUGGGGAGGCCUCACAAUCAUGGUGGAGGGCAAAAAGGAGCAAGUCACGUCUUACAUGGAUGGCAACAGGCAAAGAGAGAGCUUGUCCAGGGAAACUCCUGUUUUUAAAACCAUCAGAUCUCGUGAGACUCAUUCACCAUCAUGAGAACAAUGCAGGAAAGACCUGCCCCCAUAAUUCAAUCACCUCCCACCAGGUUCCUCCCACAACACGUGGGAAUUGUGGGAGCUGCAAUUCAAGAUGAGAUUUGGGUGGGGACAUGGCCAAACCAUAUCAAUGAUUGUUUCAUAUUUUUCUCCACUACUGGAAUCUAAAUACCUAUGAGGCCAGUGACCUCAUCUAUCUGAUUUAGUGCUGUAUCCUCAUUGCUAGCACAGAACUAGUUAAGAGAAGGCACUUAUCACUUAAGAAUGAAUGAAUGAAUGAAUGAAUUUCCUUCAAUGUAAACAUUUACUCACUAUUUACUUAAACUCCAUGACAUUCUUAGGAAAUUCAGAAAAAAACAUGGCACAACUUCGAUGAUUUUCAUUUAGCCACUCUCUAAGACCCAAACUGUGUACCAACCAUCAUGAUCAACAGCAUAUGCUUUUACACACACACACACACACACACACACGUGCACACACACACACACAUUUUGUUAGUUAUCUACCUUUACUUCCUCAUACUACUGAGGGCAGUUUCUGUAGUAGAAAGAACACUGACUUAUGCUUAUUCUGAGCUAGGGUGAGUUAGGCUCUUGCUCUACCAUUUUUAUUAACUCUGAAGUCUUGAAAAGACCAAUUAGCAUGUUUCAGCCUUCAUUUGCUACAUACUGGGAAUCAUACCUGGAGGAAUCACAUUGAUGACAAAACACAAGAGUCCAUGUAUAGAACCGUAAUAAUAAAUAGCUCCAUAUUUGGAUAGUACUAGCCCACGUGCUGAAUCUCAGGGACAUACUUACAGAUGUACGUUUCCUCCAAUUUCCCCUAUAUGCCCUCAAAGGCAGGUAUCAUUGGGCCAAUGUUAUACAUUAAAUAUGCUGAGUAUCAGAAGUGAAAUUUAACUUCACACAGUUAUGUGACAAGACUGUGCUAUAAAACCAUGACUAAAUCCAAACUGAUCCAUAGGAGGGUAAAAUGUCCGUUUUCUUCAUUAAAACUUCUCAGCUCAAAUUUAUACUAAAGCAUAUCCAGGAAUUAAAAAAAAGGUUUUGAUGAUAUUUGCUUUCUAGUUUAAUAAGUUUUAAUACUGAAUAGGUUAAAUUAAUACAAAAUAACAUAAAAUGCUAAUAUUUAUUGAGUAUUUACUUUGUACCCACUACGAUCUUAAGUAAUUUACUGGGAUUAUUUUAUUUUAGUUUAACAAUGCAGGUAGCUACUAUAAUCGUCCCUAUUUUACACUUGAGGAAACAGGCUAAGAGAGAUUAAAUUAGUGGCCCAAGGUCAGAAAGCUCGUAAUUCUUGAAGCCAGGGUAUGAUUCUGUGUAACGUGAGGGUUCAAGCCUUUACCAGUGAUGCAUGUUGCCUCUUAUUUCAUUAAUUUAAAUUGGUCAUUUGGGUUAAUCACAUAGAAGGUGACGUUCCAUUUUGUUUUUGUAUGACUUGCAUUCUUCAACAUUUUUCAUCCACAGUGCGAUAAAAUAAUAUCAUGUUCAUUCUCUUCUAUACCUUUACAUUUGUGUUUCCCUACUGUAAUGUAAAAAUUUCAGAUGUAUGGUAAAUAUGCAAAUGCAACAAUAUUAGAAAAAACUGGUCUAUAUUCUCAGUUUACUGUUUACAGUUGUGAGAACUGAGUGAGAGUCCUUAUUCUCCCAGUGUAAUAAUUAUUACACAUUAUGCUUCCUGCCAAAACUAGCUGACUGCCUUAGUCCUUUGAGUUGUGAAUAUCAGUAUCAAUUCAAAAACAACUAUUUAAUAACAACUUUCUUAAAGAAAGGAAGAAAAUAUAAUUUUAUGAAAUGACCACUUUUAUUAUUCUUGAGUGUCUCAGAAAAUUUAGUGUAAAGUGUCCUUUGCUAUCCAGGAUAUAACAGCUGGUUCCAGAUAACAUGGUAUGUCUCAUUAGAGAGAUACUAGAUCUAAUUAUGCAACAUAUAAGCAAGAUCAUUAUAGAAACAUUAUCUCGAUGAGGUAAGUAAAGUACAUGUGAAAUCUAACUCUGCUGUUUGAAAGAAUUUUUGAAAGCAAAUGUAAGGAAUUAAUAAUUACUUAAGUGUAUGAAGAAAGCUGUUGCAAACUACUUAUGAAUCUUUGACAUGUAAUGAAAAAAUAUAAUAGAAUGAUAAGUACCCUGAUUAUUUGUGCUAGAGAUAAAAAUGAACUUCUGGGCAAAUAUCUUUUGCUACCGACAAAUUUUUUUUCUAAACAGUAAAAAUGAGUGCCUUUUCAUAGCAUUUCUACUGUGUCAGAAAUUCUCAAACUUUAGAGUGUAACUGAAACACAGAGAGGGCUUAUUAAAACAAAGAUUGCCGUAAGGACUUGUACCCUAUAAACAGAAACUAUACAUUUUUCAAGCAUCUAUGAUUUACCAAAAUAGACUAGUAUUAGUUAAGAACAAGAUAAUAAUAAUAAAUAACAGAAAUUUCAGGAAUUACAUAAGGUCACAACUUAAUAAUACAAAAAAAAUAAUCUUUUCAUAAAAACAUUCCCCAAAAAUAUUAAAAACAAACAACAAAUCAAUAACAACAUUAAAAUAAGCAAACCAUUUGCCUAAAUAACUGUUGUGACAAAAGGCAAACUAAACCAUAACUGUAGGCCAUUUAAGAACCUACUAAAUUACAGCACCACGUUUCAACACUGAUGUAUUACCAAAGCUCUUCUUAGAGACAAAUUCAUAGGCUUUAACAGUCUAUUAAAAAGAAGUAUAAAAGAAUCAUGUCUUUAUCACAGGAACUUAACUGGACUACAAUAAAGCAAAGAUGAAACUUAGAAAGAACACAAAUUUAAUUGCAUUAGAGAAAUUGGAAAAUCAACAAGUAAAUCACAGAACUAAUAUUUUUAAAGAAAAAAAUUCGUUACUAUUUUAAAAGGAAUAAGCAGCAGGAAAAAAAUGAGAAAGAAUACAACACGCAGAAAAUUUUUAAAAAAUACUGAGGGUAAUGUUUAAGAAGGUAAUUGCAAAUUUCUAGAAGAAAUGCUAGCAAAUGUAAUUUGUAUAGGAUGUUAAAACAAUACUUAAUAAUGCAGUACUACAUUAUCUUAGCAAUACAUAGAUGAUUUCAAUAAUCAAUUUAUAAUAUUUGACUAUAUACAAUGAUACAUCAGAAAAGGAGAUGUGCAUAAAUUUUCAUGGAAUAAGGUAUAAAGCCCAACUCUCAAUACAUACUAAUCAUAACAGGAGUCUAAGAAAUAUUCUGAAAUAAAUGGGAAUGCAGAAUGUGUCAGGCCUCUGAGCCCAAGCUAAGCCAUCAUAUCCCCUGUGACCAGCACGUACACAUCCAGAUGGCCGGUUCCUGCCUUAACUGAUGACAUUCCACCACAAAAGAAAUUAAAAUGGCCUGUUCUUGCCUUAACUGAUGACAUUAUCUUGUGAAAUUCCUUCUCCUGGCUCAUCCUGGCUCAAAAGCUCCCCAACUGAGCAUCUUGUGACCCCCACUCUUGCCUGCCAGAGAACAACCCCACUUUUUCCUUUACCUACCCAAAUCCUAUAAAACAGCCCCACCCCUAUCUCCCUUCGCUGACUCUCUUUUUGGACUCAGCCCGCCUGCACCCAGGUGAUUAAAAUCUUUAUUGCUCAGGGAUGCGCAUGAAAGAAUGUGCCACAGAAAAUGAGACACAUCAAUGAGGGCAACUCAUCAUCUGAAAAUCCUUCCCAGAUGUGCUGAAAAAUUUUCAUUAAUUUGUAUAUUCUAUUUUAUUUUUAUAACUAAGUACACAUGCUUGUGACUGGAAGAGAAGACACCCCUCAUUUAAUCCCAGAGGAAUAUUUGGCCUUGAUUCAUGCCCUGCUCACUCCACCCCAUUAUUAAGAUAGAGAUCGCUGAAGAAAUCCCUGCUCUAUAAAUGUAGCUGAUCCAAAAACAAAAUGGAAAUUCAUUAUUUUAAAUAUUUCUACAAGAUCUUUGUACAACUCUAUUUUUUUUUCCUAUUAAGAAUUACAUGAUUCUAGAAUAAGUUCCAACCCUAAGUAUCAACACUGGAACACAAUUUUAAAACAGGAGGCGAUUAUCUCUAUAGUGAGAUUUAACUACAGAGGUGAUAGCUCUGGUUAGUGAAUUUCAGGACUAGAAAUCAGGCCUGCUGUCUCUUAGCUUAGAGGAGGUAUAAUAAGAAGAGGAUUAGAACUACUGUGUAUAUUAACAAGAAGAACUCUAUUAUGUUCAGCUAUCAUUAUAUAUGAUAUUAUGUUUCUUUUUAUGAACUAUAGUUCACUGUCUUUA